AGUGAGUGAGUAGUUCGCUGAUUUAACUGAAGGGUGCUAUGCACCAGCAAGCUUGCCUUGUGGGUUCCUUCAGUCAGGGGAAAGCUCACUUUUUU
rnacentral:sRNA from 12 species